UGUGUGUGUGUGUGUGUGUUGUUUGUGUGUCAGUGUAGCGAAGGGAGAGAGCAGUGACCCCACCCGGUCUUGAACACAGGUUUCCAAACUAAAGUUUACAGUUGGGAUCCUCCAGAAGAGAAGAAAGAUGCUUCACUCCUGAGUCUCCUGCUUUAUUCCAUCUCAGCUGCAGCUCUCUCAUGUGUGAGGGGUUUGAUCUCAGUGCUGAUGCAAGAGCUCUGAAGCCUUCAUCUCCAAUACUGCAGUGUGACAGACUGUAGAGAGAAUUUACAGUUGGGAUCCUCCAGAAGAGAAGAAAGAUGCUUCACUCCUGAGUCUCCUGCUUUAUUCCAUCUCAGCUGCAGCUCUCUCAUGUGUGAGGGGUUUGAUCUCAGUGCUGAUGCAAGAGCUCUGAAGCCUUC